CGCAUUGCUUGUGCUGGAGAUGGUCUCACCGACAGACUCCCUGGAUGUCCGUCAAGCACCCAGAGCGCUGACAGGCCCUGAGCCCCGCCUGGGGGUGUCGCUUGGCUGAGCCCUGACAGGAGGGGUAGGAUGUGAUCAGGCCAGUUGCUGGAGGACUCGCAUUUGAAGCAGAGGAGAAAGAGAAAGCAAGUUCCCCGGGUCAGCACAGGGCUGUGAGUGGGGGCUGGCGAGCUGGCUGCGGCUGCCAAGUCAAGGUGGGCGGCCAGACUUCCUCCUAAGGAAGGGCUCGCAUCGGAUGGCGCCAAGACCACGGGUCUUAGUUGCGGCAUGCGGGAUCUAGUUCCCUGACCAGGGAUGGAACCCAGACGCCCUGCAUCGGGAGUGCAGAGUCUCGGCCACUGGACCCCCAGGGAAGUCCCUCCUGUGUCUUUCCUGCACUCCACAAUGCACCUCGCACUCACAGGUCUGCAGUGUCUGCUGACUGACUCCACGACUGGCGGCCCGGGGCGCAAUGCAGAGAGGUCCCAGGUGACUCACUGCCUUGGUUGGAAGCCUUGCAGUUUCCCCUGCCUUGGUGCUGCCGCUCCGCCGCCAUCACUGCGGCCCUGCUGGAUGCCUGGCUGCUCCUGCUCUGACUGCAGACUUUCUGGCCACCCCUGCUUCUCCGGGCUGGAAGAGAGGAUUUCCCUGCUGAGUGAUCAUCGUUCCGUUCGAAACUCAUCGAAGUAGCCGUGUCCUUUCAGAGUCAGACCCGUUUUCUCUCCAGGAAGUUGGGGCAAGUUCUCCAGGAAGCAGGACUGAUGAUGCCACCCCUGGCUGCAGGCUGCUCUCCUAGAGGGUGUGCCCGUCGACCAUCUGCCACCUGAGCACCAGGCCUCCCUCCCAGAGCUGGCAUGGGGCUUGGAUCUGGCAUGCGGACCCCUGAUCCCUCCUCCAGCAGGGCAGGUGGGCCUCCUCGCCUGCCUUCUGGCACUCCUGCUCUCUCCCUGCUGUCCCUUUCCCAGGUUACCCGCUGCUUGCCCCGCGGCUCUGACAUUAUGCCUCUGUGACCCUCGCAUCUGGGUCAAGUGCCCUUUCUCUGCACUGUGAGGGCCUGAAGAGAACAGGGCUGUGCCCUGCUCAUUCUUGUUCAUUCUUACAUCCCAGUGUCACCUGGCACGUUGAAGGGACUUGAUGAAAACUGUAGAGACUGAC
ensembl:lncRNA